CAUAACUUCCAACUUUUUUCCUCUUCUUUGGGAAGGAUGUAGCGGUAUUUUAAAUUUAUACAUGUAUGCCAUUUCUUCCUCUUCUUCCUGUUCCCUGGAAAAUACCUAGUGCUGUUUCAAAAGCCAAAAAUUUCACCUCUACAAGAGCUGACCUUGGGGCCAUGCCUGAGUCGAAGAGUAUCGAUCAAACGAAAGAAAACGAUAUCACUGCGAGUUUCUAUAUCACGAUCUGUCGCCACGGUAACCGCAAACCUAUGUACUCGAAUAUUCCCUAAUCACCUUUGUGUCGUCGUUAUUACUAUAAAUCGGAUAAAUAUGAGUCAUAAACAGCUCAUAUAGCGAGAAAAACAAGCAGUAUUUUGUAAUCCUUGAAAGAAUUAUUCGUCUAACUAGUUAAUUGAUGUUUAACUUUAAGAAACAGAAGAAUUGAAGUUUUUUAUAAUAAUGAAAAUAGAACAUCGUAUCAUAUGUAAUAAUGGAUUGACUUACAUCAUUCUGAUUUUCAAUCUGUCAUAUAAAUGAAUCACGCGUCGACUAUACUUAAAGCAUUCUUUCUUCUUGUAUUCCAAUACGAUGCUAGGAAAGACAGUAAAAUAAAAGAAAAUAAAAUAGUGACGACAGGGAAAAAUUGAUCCAAAGUGGUGUUCGAAGGUUGGAGAGACAGUACCAUGAGUGUCGAAAGGAAUAGUGGAAGAAGCAGAGAUAGGAAAACAACACGAGGCAUCCAUAAGCGACCACUGGGUCACAGCAAUCGGUGCAACGUCCUGACUUGUCUCCGUCUUCUUUUUUUCACACUAUACACACUCUUUUAUCUAAUAUGUGUACACUUUUUUCCUCACGAUCUUUGGCAUCCCUUCCAAUUCAUCAUUUCUACUCAUUUCCCUCGAGGCAAUCUAAUUUCUCUUUCUCUUCUUGGAGUCUUUCAUAGCUCUUCGUAUCUUACCUCAUUGCCAGUUAACCUAUUGUGUACAUACUCACAGGCUCAAGAAAAUAUUGGAACACUUGUUGAUACAUCUUUCAUGAAUGUAUUAUGUGUGUGAUACGACACGUUUUGAAAUGUCAUUAACACUGUUAUGAAAGGCGACUAUCAUUAUCACACUGGUAA